rnacentral:rRNA from 1 species
GAGCGAUGGAAGCUUGCUUCUAUCAAUCUUAGUGGCGAACGGGUGAGUAACGCGUAACCAACCUGCCCUUCAGAGGGGGAUAACAACGGGAAACCGUUGCUAAUACCGCGUACGAAUGGACUUCGGCAUCGAAGCUCAUUGAAAGGUGGCCUCUAUAUAUAAGCUAUCGCUGAAGGAGGGGGUUGCGUCUGAUUAGCUAGUUGGAGGGGUAACGGCCCACCAAGGCAAUGAUCAGUAGCCGGUCUGAGAGGAUGAACGGCCACAUUGGGACUGAGACACGGCCCAAACUCCUACGGGAGGCAGCAGUGGGGAAUCUUCCGCAAUGGACGAAAGUCUGACGGAGCAACGCCGCGUGAGUGAUGACGGCCUUCGGGUUGUAAAGCUCUGUUAAUCGGGACGAAUGGUCUUUGUGCAAAUAGUGCAGAGAUUUGACGGUACCGGAAUAGAAAGCCACGGCUAACUACGUGCCAGCAGCCGCGGUAAUACGUAGGUGGCAAGCGUUGUCCGGAAUUAUUGGGCGUAAAGCGCGCGCAGGCGGUUUCGUAAGUCUGUCUUAAAAGUGCGAGGCUCAACCUCGUGAGGGGAUGGAAACUAUGGAACUAGAGUAUCGGAGAGGAAAGCGGAAUUCCUAGUGUAGCGGUGAAAUGCGUAGAUNUUAGGAAGAACACCAGUGGCGANNGCGGCUUUCUGGACGACAACUGACGCUGAGGCGCGAAAGCCAGGGGAGCGAACGGGAUUAGAUACCCCGGUAGUCCUGGCCGUAAACGAUGG